AAAACUGAUUCUCUCAUAUUCUUCUUUCUUCAAAGAAAAAAAACCCUUAAGUAUUUAUUUAUUAUUUUGAGCACAGUAAGUGUUCUUUAUUGAAGAGUUUCUGUUUGGCAGGUUUUGCCGCUUUAACGAAGUGUUCCAGCAAAGAAGUUUCAACAUCAAUUCCAAUGAAUUGGUUUCUUUUAAGUUCAAAUGUAUUGAUGAUGAAUGUCGAAUAUGGAAGAAACAUGAUUGACAUGAGAUAUGAGUUAGAUGUCAUAUGGAUCAAUCAAGGAUAAUACAACAAGUGUCUUGCAUGAGAAAGAAAAUGAACAUCCGUGAGGUGUCAAGCCACACACAUCCUGAUGCUCAAGUGAAUCUUGAGUUUGUGACUAAUUACUUGAUAGUAGAGGAAAGAUAGAGGAUUUUUGGCAUAUACCUUCAACCUGUGACUUUUUGGCUAUUUAUGUAGGAUAAUAAUGUGUAAUUGAUCUUCUGUUCCUAAUUGUUACUCUUUGAUAUUUUCAGAAUCACUGAGUUAAUAAUUGUUGGGCAACUAUAUAUACUACUACCACUUGAGGUUGUAACCAA